rnacentral:rRNA from 1 species
AGAGAGAGACAUGCGCGCAUAUCAAUAAGCGGAGGAAAAGAAACUAACUAGGAUUCCCUCAGUAACGGCGAGUGAAGCGGGAAGAGCUCAAAUUUGAAAUCUUCAAGGUUCUACCUUGACGAAUUGUAGUUUAAAGAAGUGUUUUCUGUUGGAGUUUUGGUAAAAGUUCUUUGGAAUAGGACAUCAUAGAGGGUGAGAAUCCCGUAUUUGACCAUUAUUUCCAGCUUUGUGAUACACUUUCAAAGAGUCGGAUUGUUUGGGAAUGCAGUCCGAAAAUGGGUGGUAAAUUUCAUCUAGAGCUAAAUACUUGGCGAGAGACCGAUAGCGAACAAGUACCGUGAGGGAAAGAUGAAAAGAACUUUGAAAAGAGAGUUAAACAGUACGUGAAAUUGUCAAAAGGGAAGCGUUUGACACCAGUGUUGUUUUCUCGAAAAUCAAUUAAAAAAGGCAGGAUUUUGUGUUGUAUUGACUUUAUCAGCUUUCUGCACUCUCUUCUUGUCUUUUUUUAAUGCACUUUUCGUUUAACAAGUCAACAUCCAAGUUUCUUUUGUUGUAAAAGGGUCAUUGGAAGGUGGCUUUCUUUUCGGAGAAAGUGUUUAUAGCCUUUGGCCUCUGCAAUCGGAGAGAUUGAGGUCUGCAGCGUAGAUCCUUCGGGGUUAGAUACAUUUGUGCUAAGUUAUAGCCUUUCAUAGACAACUUGUUGACUAUGAUCAGUCAUGUAGCUUACUCGCUUAUGCUAUUUUACCUACGCUUAGGAUGUUGAUGUGAUACUGCGAGCA